rnacentral:rRNA from 1 species
GAUGAACGCUGGCGGCGUGCCUAAUACAUGCAAGUCGAGCGAACGGACGAGAAGCUUGCUUCUCUGAUGUUAGCGGCGGACGGGUGAGUAACACGUGGAUAACCUACCUAUAAGACUGGGAUAACUUCGGGAAACCGGAGCUAAUACCGGAUAAUAUUUUGAACCGCAUGGUUCAAAAGUGAAAGACGGUCUUGCUGUCACUUAUAGAUGGAUCCGCGCUGCAUUAGCUAGUUGGUAAGGUAACGGCUUACCAAGGCAACGAUGCAUAGCCGACCUGAGAGGGUGAUCGGCCACACUGGAACUGAGACACGGUCCAGACUCCUACGGGAGGUAGCAGUAGGGAAUCUUCCGCAAUGGGCGAAAGCCUGACGGAGCAACGCCGCGUGAGUGAUGAAAGUCUUCGGAUCGUAAAACUCUGUUAUUAGGGAAGAACAUAUGUGUAAGUAACUGUGCACAUCUUGACGGUACCUAAUCAGAAAGCCACGGCUAACUACGUG